AGGCUCCAUCAAGGCUUAUAUUUUUUAGAUGAACACCAUUGCAGAAUCAAGGCAUAUUAUACUAUUUUACUCUUACUGAGUUUUUACCCUCUUGUAUCCAGAUUGUAAAGCACCCGGGUAAGAGAUCCCUCAAUGUUUAGGCGAGGCAAACCCUUUAUACAGGAGUGAGGAAACCCAGCGCCGAAACGUUGUAGGAACUCAAUAUAUUGGUUGCAGUACCUCGUGUUAUGGUUAAUUGCCUGCUAUCUUAAUGCAACUAUUUUAAUAUUCGACUGUAUUUCGUAGAUAUGUUUUUUUCUUCCUAUAAAUACUUUGUUGCAAUUACAUCAGUACUAAUGCUACAUAUCUUACAUGUGGCAAUUUAUAUAUAAUUCACCAAGGCACAGAGAGAAACAUGUCUGAUGAACAUGGUGAACAUGGGUGGAUUGUACAAAUAAUGGAAACACAAAAAAAUGUAGUGGAUGCACUGAUUAGCCACCCAAAAGAUCUGGUCCAAAAAAUAGAGCAGUG